rnacentral:rRNA from 1 species
CCCUUAGACGUUCUGGGCCGCACGCGCGCUACACUGACACAGGCAACGAGCUUUCCUUUACCGAAAGGUAUGGGUAAUCUUUUGAAACUGUGUCGUGCUGGGGAUAGAUCCUUGCAAUUUUUGAUCUUAAACGAGGAAUUCCUAGUAAGCGCGAGUCAUCAACUCGCGUUGAUUACGUCCCUGCCCUUUGUACACACCGCCCGUCGCUACUACCGAUUGAAUGGCUUAGUGAGGCCCCAGGAUCCGCGCUUAAUGUGUGGAGAAUUUGGACAAACUACGUCAUUUAGAGGAAGUAAAAGUCGUAACA